ACGGAAGGCAGCAGUCGGGAAUAUUGCGCAAUGGAGGAAACUCUGACGCAGUGACGCCGCGUAUAGGAAGAAGGUUUUCGGAUUGUAAACUAUUGUCGUUAGGGAAGAGAAAGGACAGUACCUAAGGAGGAAGCUCCGGCUAACUACGUGCCAGCAGCCGCGGUAAUACGUAGGGAGCAAGCGUUAUCCGGAAUUAUUGGGUGUAAAGGGUGCGUAGACGGGAAAAUAAGCUAGUUGUGAAAUCCCUCGGCUUAACUGAGGAACUGCAACUAAAACUGUUUUUCUUGAGUGCAGGAGAGGUAAGUGGAAUUCCUAGUGUAGCGGUGAAAUGCGUAGAUAUUAGGAGGAACACUAGUGGCGAAGGCGACUUUCUGGACAGAAACUGACGUUGAGGCACGAAAGUGUGGGGAGCAAACAGGAUUAGAUACCCUGGUA
rnacentral:rRNA from 1 species